CAAUUAGUCAUUCCUAGUUAUUAUUUUUAGAUUAUAUUGUCUUUAAGGUAGAGAUUUGGCCAACCUUCUGUUUGCAAAGCACCGAGAGUAGUUUAUUUCCCUGUUUAUCCCACAUAUCAUAUACUUCAUCCCAGCACACUUUAUAGAUGAGCAAAUGCCAUACUGAUGUGGAUCUGUGGAGGUGCAUGCUGAUGCUUAGGAAUAAGGCUGGAAACAGUGCCUAUCCAGCAGAAAACAGUGGGAGCUGUGAUGAACGCUUUGUUCAACCCUUUUUUAAGGACUCAGGGCACAAAUUAUCAUUAGUUCUAGACCUACAACCAUCAUUAAUUGAGAGGAAUUAUGCCUGAGAGAAAAUAGGACCCUCAGGUACCCUCUCAGAAAAUCUUUUCAACACCUUCUGGAGAUCAGUGAAUUAAGAGCUUGCACAGGAAAAGCCUCAUCAUAGACUGGGGGUAUCUGAUAGGGCUCGAAGGACGAGAAUUCAUAUGGCUGAUUUUAUAUCUGAGUUAUCAUCUCCAGUUGCACACUGGCCUGUCAACAAAUCAACACGCUCUGGAAGUUUCUGUUCUCACUUUGACACAUGAGGAACCAACUUCCAAAAGGACAGAUGUGCUGCUUCCAGUAAACACAGCGAGCAGCAGGGCGCAGAGUUGGAGAAGGGGAUGCCGAUCUCUGUGGCCCUUCCGCAGGCACCCCAGCAUUCACCUGCCAUUCACAGGUGGGGAUGAAGUUCUCCCACAGCUGUAGUCCCCACGAAAUUCGGCAGAAAAUUCUACCAGUGUAUAAUUUAUCAUAGAAUCAUAGAAUCGCUAAGGUUGGAAAAGACCCACAGGAUCAUCCAGUCCAACCAUUCGCCCUUCACCAAUGGUUCUCACUAAACCAUGUCCCUCAACACAACAUCCAAAUGCUCUUUGAACACCACCAGGCUCGGCGACUCCACCACCUCUCUGGGCAGCCCAUUCCAGUGCCUGACCACCCUUUCAGAGAAGUAGUAUUUCCUAACGUCCAGCCUGAAUCUUCUCUGGCGCAGCUGUUCCAUUCCCUCUAGUCCUAUCACUAGGUACCUGGUGUGGCACUUCACCUGACUGAAGCCAAAGUUACAGGAUUUAAGAGAUUUGGUGCUCACAGUUGGCCUUUUUAGAGGGUCUUUGCAUAAUGAGUUCUUGUUCCCUCUCCAUCUCUCUGCUUUCACACAUGAGGAUGGGGCUGAGACACAGCUGGGUUUGAACGUCAGAAUGGGAGUAGUUGGGAUGGGUGACUGCAGGAACAUGGAAUCCCCUUCUCCGUGGCCUGAAAUGACAAUGAAAUCAAAUCCUUCCUAAAGAGUAUGCAAGGCCCUUGAUCUCCCUGACAGUCCUUUACUACAUGCAUUUUAUUGGCUGGAGGCUUGUUCUCUUUGGCUUGCUCCAAUUCCCCCUGAAACAGCAGAAAGUUUCCCACUUCCUGCAGUGAAAGCUGAGCAAAAAUGUUAAGCCGGAUUUGUUUUCCAGCUAAUGGGCAGAGGAUUGGUGGUUUUUCUUGUUUGUUUCAAAACACAGUGUAAAAGAAUACACUUUGUAGAAUCUGUCCUCUCCCUGAAACACACAGGGUUUCUCCAUUCUCAUUUGUAAGCAGAUAAGAUUUUCUUUCUUUGCUCAAUUAAGAAUGGCCUUUGCAACCCCCGAGAAAAAUCAGCAGAGGGUGGAAGGUUAUUUUUAAUGACAGUGAAGACAGGGACAUGAGAGAGCCCUGAGUACCACGUUGCGUAAUUCUGUACUCUUUGAGAGGACGUUGUUCUGCGACAGAUGGGAAAGGCCAGUGACUGUCCUUUGUCAGCUUCCUCGCUGAAACAUAGGAAGUUAUCAGCACUGAGUUACACACCUAGAGCAGCAGCGACCAGCACUGAUGUUUGCUGUAGCACCCCAAGGAUACCUCCACAGAGCUGCAAGAAGGAUGUCCUGAGUAGCUCAUGCCUUCCCUUUCCACAGCCAAUGAACAGUCUGUGCGAGAUAUGGGAAGCAGCCUCCCUCUGGGUAUUUACCUCUCAUGCAGGUUUCUGUCUGUGUGCAGCUGCAUUCCUGAGGUGUUUUACGGGCUGAGCAAGUGCAUGCCCAUUGGUAGUUCAGAUGUGUAUGAAGUGUCAUGGUGGUAUGAUUUCUAUUAUUCCACAUGAACGGCACUGGCUUUCAUUUCUGAUCAUACAGCUUGUUAUUUGCUGUAUGCUGUUAGUCAUGGUUGGCUGUGCACUUUUGUACUUGGUGUUUUAACUCUGUAGUACUUCAGUACAAAGGAAAUUUUAAGAACAACAAUGACAAUGUUUCUAAUCUGUUCUUAAUUAAAUAGCCCUCGAUAAUUGAUUUAUGAGAAGAAGGGAAACAAAACAGAGUGGUAGCUAAUCUGAAAAUAUAACUUACUUAAGGGCCAAAGUUUCCUUCUACCUACAAUGACCAGCAUUUAUGGAAGCCUGAAUGCCAGCGAAGAUUUAUUUGUCAGCACUCAAUAAAUGAAGGCAAAAUUCACCCACAAAAGGCAGCUUAUGCCUCUCCCUAUAAUAUAUUAAGAUUUCUUUGUACAUUAAAACAGAUCACGUAAGUCUACUUAUUUACUUUCACUUGUGAUUAAAUGUGUGGCGUAACUUCUUUUUAUAAGCCACCAUUACUUGUUAAAAACAUUCAAGGGCAAUCAAAAUGAAGUCAAUAUAGUGCGAUUCUCUGCUUUAAAAUGGUCCCUUUCUGCUUGUCCACCCAUACCCUGUCCCCCCAGUACGCUGUCAUUGAUCUGGACCCGAGACAGAUUUGUUAUUAUUGCAGUUAUUUAGACUUAAAGACAAUAGAUCUUCCCAUGUGGUUCUAAGUGAAGAGCACACAUAUUUUGGUAUGGUUGGCAAAAAUGAAAUGAAAAUAUAUGUGGUGCAAAAAAUUGUAUUACUUAUGCCUCAGAUAUACCUAAUUUUUUUGAAAGUGAAAGACAGCUCCAGGAUCAGCUGAAGUUUGCCCAUCGGCUUCAGCAAAGCAAAAAUGUAAUCAAAUAUUGUCCCCGUAGGCCAUGUAGCUAGAUCAAAUAUAAUAGCGAUAAGACAAAAAGAACUUACACUGAGCUGUCUUGCCUUGUAUUAUCAUAAAAUGAAAAUUUAUUGCAAACCAAACUUGACUUUCCUCUAUGCUGAAACAAAGUAUUAUGUAAAAGAGAUGCAAGAUAUUUUCAUUGUCAAGGAAGAUGUACCAAGCCAGAGUGCAGUGCAGUAACUGUCCUCAGACCAGGUAUUACCCAUGGCUUUACUAAGUUCUCAACUGUUGUAUCACUAGAGCUAUCGAUUGCAAGUUCAGCCCCAGUGAUGACUCAUAAAGUUGGGAAUUGCUUGCAGAUGCAUUAGAAAUACUGCAGGUAGGUAUCUGGUAAGCAGAGACUACAUUUCCCGCAUACAUUAAAUGGUAGAAGUAAACAAUUACACGAGCACAGAAAAUAAGCAGUUCCGUACAGAAGAAAAGUCACCAGGCCUAAGGCUGUGCAGCUGAUUUAUGCAGCUCACUGCAGAGAUGCUCUUAUUAUUGUGAAAUAUUUGUUGCAUGUGAUCAACAAAGCACAGAGAAAGAUGUUGCUGCUAUUUCAGUGUUUCUUCUAACUCAUAGACACAAUAACCCAAGGGCCAGGGUUAAUAGCACUGACCUAGUUAAACCAGAAAAGACAAGAUUUUCAGACAUCUUUUCAGACAUCUUCUGAAAAUCUGAUCCCAGCUGGACGCAGUUGUCUUCAGUAUCACCUUUGGAGUCAUUUUGAAACUGCUUUGGAAAUACCGGCAGAUCUACCAGCCUGUUCUAGAGGACACCAUCUUGUAGAGGAGGGCAUACCAGAUGUGGAAAAGUCUCCGUGUACCCCGGAUCUAACACAAAAGAUCUUGAAGUCCACCAGCAGUCACUGCUUGGAGGCAGAAGCUCACCCACAACAGUUUCCACUUCUGCACGUGUUCAGAAACAUUUGGAGCCUAACCAGGUACAUACUCAGGGUCUCUUACCAGUUUGGGCAGCAUACAAAAUCCUGCUGAAAGAGGAACUCCUGGUUAAAUAUAUAUAUAUAUAUAUAUAUAUAUAUAUUUCCAAUCAGUAACUAAGGCUGGAGUUUAUCUUCUUCCUCUGCACCUUCCUUUGUAGUUUCCACUGAAGCUGGGUGUCAUCCAUCCCUCCAGCUGGUCCUCUUCAAUCUGGUUAGACCUAUUUAGCAUUCACUAAGGCAGUACUGUAUUACCUAGGGUACUCACAGAGUGGGAUGCGAAAGAGGUUGGUGUUCCAAACUUCUUCUGUGGAUUAGUGAAAUAUCAGUAUAAGCUAAUCAUGAGACAGCUUUUCAUGUUCAGUUCCUUGACUGUCAACCACUGAAUAUUAAAUUAUUUUGUUCGAGUGAAAUAGUUUUCACAGAGAUGUGAAGUUGCCCGAUGACUUCCCUAUGUUGUUGUUUAAAGUAUUCUUUGAAGGUGGAAAUGUGUAUUUUGCCUGCUAAUCAAUGACACUACUACUACUACACUAUGACUGUGACAAAAAUUCACAGUAAUCUCACUUUGUGCAUUCUUGCAACCUUGUCUGUUCUGUAGAAGUACUUUGAAAGUAAAGCAAUGGAACAUGAAGUACAUGUGCCACCCUCCCCAUAAGGAAGCAUAAGCCCUGUUGUUGAGAGGGAAAUUACCUUUCUUCAUGCCUACUCCACUCAACUGAUGAACUUCCCUCUCUGCAACAGGUGAUGUAAGUCUGAGCAUCGCAUGACCAUGACAUAAUCAACAUCUUCAGAGAACAGGCUCGGUCUCAAGGAUUUUU
ensembl:lncRNA